AUUGAACGCUGGCGGCAUGCCUUACACAUGCAAGUCGAACGGUAACAGGUCUUCGGAUGCUGACGAGUGGCGAACGGGUGAGUAAUGCAUCGGAACGUGCCCAGUAGUGGGGGAUAGCCCGGCGAAAGCCGGAUUAAUACCGCAUACGACCUGAGGGUGAAAGGGGGGGAUCGCAAGACCUCUCGCUGUUGGAGCGGCCGAUGUCAGAUUAGCUAGUUGGUGGGGUAAAGGCCUACCAAGGCAACGAUCUGUAGUUGGUCUGAGAGGACGACCAGCCACACUGGGACUGAGACACGGCCCAGACUCCUACGGGAGGCAGCAGUGGGGAAUUUUGGACAAUGGGCGCAAGCCUGAUCCAGCAAUGCCGCGUGCAGGAAGAAGGCCUUCGGGUUGUAAACUGCUUUUGUCAGGGAAGAAAUCUUCUGGGCUAAUACCCUGGGAGGAUGACGGUACCUGAAGAAUAAGCACCGGCUAACUACGUGCCAGCCGCCGCCGUAACAC
rnacentral:rRNA from 1 species